GUACCCGGUCCGGGUCGGCUGGGCUGCCCGCCGCUCCGCGCGCCCGGGCGGUCGCAGGUCGCGCCUGCUUUGGCCCCGGCGGGUUCGGCAUCCGAGCCUGGCAGGGGCCAAUAGACAGGGCCUCUGGAGUGCAGUGGCGUGAUCUCGGCUCACUACAGCGUCUGCCUACCGUGUUCAAGCGAUCCUCCCACCUCAGCCUGUUGAGCAACCGGGACCCCAGAAAGUUUCCUACACUACUGAGGUUUAGGGGCACUGUGAAGCAAAAGCCACGCCUCAGAAUCCCAGGCGGAGACUCCGACCUCGUCCCGGGAGGGAAGCCAGUAGCUGAGCACCUGCGGGAGAUUAAAGAGAGGAAUAAGGAGGUGAGUACAUGACAAAGAGCCACAGUCGCAGGCGGUGGGGCCUGGCUCAGAACAGGCUGUGCUGGGAAGCGGGAGCAGGAGCUGGCGCCGCCUUGCGGGCUGGCAGAGGACCAUCCACUCCCUGGCGCUGGGGCCGUCCCAUCUCAUGGGCAAGAAACGUGAGACCCCUGGCUCGCUCCACACACAACCUAAGUGCCAGAUGGAUGAGACGCCUACGCGUGAGUAAAUGCCAGGAACAUGAGACUCGAACGUGGCAGGAUAUCCUUCUGCCCACGAAUCUAAAAGCUUACUCGGUAAUGGGAGAAUGGUUCCAAUUUGAUAAACUCGGGUUUUUGGAACGUCUGUGCUCCAGAAACACUGGAAGGCAAGUGGCUGCUGACUGGAGGAGAUAAUUGGAUGCUGCAAGCGGCAAAGGGCUCGGGAUGCAAAACACCGCAAGAAAUGCAACAAGUGAGGAGCAUUCCCGCAAAGAAAAAACGCACAGGCCGAGAGCAGUGGCUCACGCCUGUAAUCCCAGCAGUUUGGGAGGCCGAGGCAGGUGCAUCGCUUGAGGACAGGAGUUCGAGACUAGGCUGGCCAACAUGGUGAAACCCCAUCUCUACUAAAAAUACAAAAAAAAAAAAAAAAUUAACCGGCUGUGGUGGCGAGUUCCUGUGGUCCCAGCUACUCGGGAGGCUGAGGCAGGAGAAUCGCUUGAACCUGGGAGACAGAGGUUGCAGUGAGCCAAGAUCGUGUCACUGCACUCCAGCCUGGGCAACAGAGUGAGACUCUGUCAAAAAAGAAAAAAAAAAUUGCACAAAUGGCACAAAGAGGAAAAAUCAAAUGGUGAGACCCAAAUAGCCAGGAGCUUUCUUUCUUUUUUUUUUUUUUUCUCCUUUCCUUUUUUCCAUCCUUUUAUCAGCCAUAAAAAGGAAGGGAAGGUUGGGCUGGGCACAGUGGCUCAUGCCUGUAAUCCCAACGCUUUGGGAGGCCAAGGUGAGUGGAUCACCAGAGGUCAGGAGUUCGAGUCAACCUGGCCAACAUGGUGAAACCCCAUCUCUACUAAAAAAUACAAAACUAGCCGGACGUGGUGGCGUGCGCCUGUAAUCCCAGCACUUUGGGAGGCUGAGACAGGAGAAUCCCUUGAACCCAGGAGGCAGAGGUUGCAGUGAGCCAAGAUUGCGCCACGGCACUCCAGCCUGGGCGACAGAGCGAGACUCCGUCUCAAAAAAUAAAAUAAAAAGGAAGGGAAGUUGAAUAGACUACAGCAUGGGUGGACCCUGAGUGAAAUAGGCCAAUUGAAAGGACAGAUGUUACACGAUACCAUUUAUCUGCAAUGCUAGAUUUGGGAGAGCCAUUGAGGCAGAAGAUAGGUGGUGGGUGCCCGGGGUUAAGGGGAGGGGACGGGGAGUCCAUGUGUAAUGGGGACAGAGUCUCUGGAGGGAUGACGCAUUCUGGAGGUGGACGGUGGUAAUGGAUACGCAUGAUGCUGCUGAACUGUGCACUUCAAAAUGGUUAAGACAGUAGAUUUUGUGUUUAUACAAUAAACCCAGAAAAGAUGUAUGCUGCACCACAAAC
rnacentral:lncRNA from 1 species